rnacentral:rRNA from 1 species
UACGAAGGGGGCUAGCGUUGUUCGGAAUCACUGGGCGUAAAGCGCACGCAGGCGGAUUGAUAAGUCAGGGGUGAAAUCCCGGGGCUCAACCUCGGAAUUGCCUUUGAUACUGUCUGUCUUGAGUCCGGGAGAGGUGAGUGGAAUUCCGAGUGUAGAGGUGAAAUUCGUAGAUAUUCGGAGGAACACCAGUGGCGAAGGCGGCUCACUGGCUCGAUACUGACGCUGAGGUGCGAAAGCGUGGGGAGCAAACAGG